GAGACUGGGCCUUCGGGCGCAUUAAGCUAGUUGGGUGGGGUAAACGGCCCUUCCCAAGGCGACGAUGCGUUAGGCCGACCUGAAGAGGGGUGACCGGGCCACCACUGGGAACUGAGAACACGGUCCAGACUCCUACGGAGGCAGCAGUAGGGAAUUUUCACAAUGGACGAAGUCUGAUGAGCACGCCGCGUGACGAUGAAGGUCUUCGGAUGUAAAUCUGUGUCAGGGACGAACACGUGCCGUCGAAUAGGGCGGUACCUUGACGGUACCUGACGAGAAAGCCACGGCUAACUACGUGCCAGCAGCCGCGGUAAUACGUAGGUGGCAAGCGUUGUCCGGAUUUAUUGGGCGUAAAGCGCGCGCAGGCGGCUAUGUAAGUCUGGUGUUAAAGCCCGGAGCUCAACUCCGGUUCGCAUCGGAAACUGUGUAGCUUGAGUGCAGAAGAGGAAAGCGGUAUUCCACGUGUAGCGGUGAAAUGCGUAGAGAUGUGGAGGAACACCAGUGGCGAAGGCGGCUUUCUGGUCUGUAACUGACGCUGAGGCGCGAAAGCGUGGGGAGCAAACAGGAUUAGAUACCCUGGUAGUCCACGCCGUAAACGAUGAGUGCUAGGUGUUGGGGGUUUCAAUACCCUCAGUGCCGCAGCUAACGCAAUAAGCACUCCG
rnacentral:rRNA from 1 species